AUGAUGAAGGCCUUCGGGUUGUAAACCUCUUUCAGGAGGGACGAAGCGCAAGUGACGGUACCUCCAGAAGAAGCCCCGGCCAACUACGUGCCAGCAGCCGCGGUAAUACGUAGGGGGCGAGCGUUGUCCGGAUUCAUUGGGCGUAAAGAGCUCGUAGGCGGCUCAGUAAGUCGGCCGUGAAAGCCCAGGGCUCAACCCUGGGAGGCCGGUCGAUACUGCUGUGGCUAGGGUCCGGUAGAGGAGAGUGGAAUUCCCGGUGUAGCGGUGAAAUGCGCAGAUAUCGGGAGGAACACCAGUAGCGAAGGCGGCUCUCUGGGCCGGUACCGACGCUGAGGAGCGAAAGCUAGGGGAGCAAACAGGAUUAGAUACCCUGGUAGUCCUAGCCGUAAACGUUGGGCACUAGGUGUGGCGGAUUCAUUGACAUCUGCCGUGCCGGAGCUAACGCAUUAAGUGCCCCGCCUGGGGAGUACGGUCGCAAGGCUAAAACUCAAAGGAAUUGACGGGGGCCCGCACAAGCGGCGGAGCAUGCGGCUUAAUUCGAUGCAACCCGAAGAACCUUACCUGGGCUUGACAUCAUGGGAAAAACUGUAGAGAUACAGUGUGCUUACGCGUCCAUGACAGGUGGUGCAUGGCUGUCGUCAGCUCGUGUCGUGAGAUGUUGGGUUAAGUCCCGCAACGAGCGCAACCCUUGUCCUAUGUUGCCAGCGGAUAAUGCCGGGGACUCAUAGGAGACUGCCGGGGACAACUCGGAGGAAGGCGGGGACGACGUCAAGUCAUCAUGCCCCUUAUGCCCAGGGCUGCACGCAUGCUACAAUGGCAGGUACAACGGGCUGCGAUCCCGCGAGGGUCAGCCAAUCCCUGAAAGCCUGUCUCAGUUCGGAUUGAAGUCUGCAACUCGACUUCAUGAAGCCGGAGUCGCUAGUAAUCGCAAAUCAGCAAUAUUGCGGUGAAUACGUUCUCGGGCCUUGUACACACCGCCCGUCACAUCACGAAAGUCGGCAACACCCGAAGUCAGUGGCCCAACCUUUUAGGAGGGAGCUGCCGAAGGUGGGGUCGGCGAUUGGGAUGAAGUCGUAACAAGGUAACC
rnacentral:rRNA from 1 species